rnacentral:lncRNA from 1 species
AAGGAUCAGGUAUAGGUCUUUACUCCCUCUUUCUGUUUUUCAUCUUUUGUUUUUUUCGGUUGCUUGAUACACAAGUAACUCUUUGUCGUUCUAUUUUCAGAUUUCCAGCCUCAAGGCAGCUCUAGCAAGGAAAGAAGAGAUGGAUCACUCUCAGCACUCCGGAUCAAGCACCCCAGAAAGAUUUGGAUUGAGGAACGGCGGAGCUUCUCCUUCCCAACACAGUUGGCAUGGUGGUAUGUCCAACGCUCAUUUGCAAUCAGACGAAGUCAGUAAUGGCCAGGUGAGCCAAAGUUUACAACUUUACAUCACAUUAUCUGCAAAUUGAAGAAAAAAGUUCAACCUCAGAUUCGGAGUAAUGGACCUUGCUUGCAUUGCACUCCAUUUCUUUGCAGGUUUCAAAGAGCUCGCUAUCCAUGCUACGGAGAAAAAGCUUGGAUCCCCACGUUUUACGAACGGAUCUACCUACAUGCCCGAAGGAAGAUAAAGAGUCAUCUUCAGGUGAGUGGGUCGAUAAGG